GCCUCAGUAGCUUAGUCGGUAGAGCGUGGGACUUUUAAUCCCAAGGUCGGGGGUUCGAGCCCCCCCUGAGGCG
rnacentral:tRNA from 1 species